UACGAAGGGGGCUAGCGUUGUUCGGAAUUACUGGGCGUAAAGCGCACGUAGGCGGAUACUUAAGUUAGGGGUGAAAUCCCAGAGCUCAACUCUGGAACUGCCUUUAAUACUGGGUAUCUCGAGUCCGGAAGAGGUGAGUGGAAUUCCGAGUGUAGAGGUGAAAUUCGUAGAUAUUCGGAGGAACACCAGUGGCGACGGCGGCUCACUGGUCCGGUACUGACGCUGAGGUGCGAAAGCGUGGGGAGCAAACAGG
rnacentral:rRNA from 1 species